rnacentral:misc_RNA from 1 species
GAUGAAGAACGUAGCGAAAUGCGAUACGUAAUGUGAAUUGCAGAAUUCAGUGAAUCAUCGAAUCUUUGAACGCAUAUUGCGCUCUUUGGUAUUCCGAAGAGCAUGCUUGUUUGAGUAUCAGUAAACACCUCAAAGUCUUUUUUUUUUCUUGAAGAAAAAGACCUUGGACUUGAGCAAUCCCAACUCUUCUUUCAGAAGAGGCGGGUUGCUUGAAAUGCAGGUGCAGCUGGACAUUCUCCUGAGCUAAAAGCAUAUUCAUUUAGUCCCGUCAAACGGAUUAUUACUUGUGCUGCAGCUAACAUAAAGGGAGUUUGACCAUUUUGGCUGACUGAUGCAGGAAUUUCACAAGAGUCUUCAAAACGCUCUUGUUAAACUCGAUCUCAAAUCAAGUAAGACUACCCGCUGAACUUAAGCAUAUCAAUAAGCGGAGGA